AUGACCAGAGACAACUCCAAAAACAUGGUGUAUCUGCAGCUGACUGGUUUGAGUGCCCAGGAUUCUGCUGUCUAUUACUGUGCUAAACACCACAGUGGUACAAACAUGUUAAUCAACCGUCCAAAAAUCCUCCCCAAGAUGUGGUCAAAGAGAAAAGAGCUUUCAAGAUACGCAAUCUUUAUUCAACAUUCCUGCAGUCAGACACUGAUCGAGUCUGAUCCAGUGAUCAUCAAACCUGCUCAGUCUCAUAAACUGACCUGCACAGCCUCUGGAUUAGACAUUAGUAGCUACUGGAUGGCUUGGAUCAGACAGGCACCUGGAAAAGGACUGGAAUUUGUUGCAAUUAUUGAGUAUGAUAGUGAUAACAAGUUUUACUCCAGUGCUGUUCAGGGCCGCUUCACCAUCUCCAGAGACAACAGUAAGAAGCAGGUGUAUCUGCAGAUGAACAGCAUGAGGACAGAAGACACUGCAGUUUAUUACUGCGCC